rnacentral:siRNA from 1 species
CUUGGACCUGUUCAAGUUGUCUA